rnacentral:tRNA from 1 species
GGGGAGGUGGCUGAGUGGUCGAAAGCGGUGGAUUGCUAAUCCACUGAGGCGAGGAAUGAUCGCCUCCGGGGGUUCGAAUCCCCCCCUCUCCG